rnacentral:rRNA from 1 species
GAUCUGGCUCAGGAUGAACGCUAGCUACAGGCUUAACACAUGCAAGUCGAGGGGCAGCAUGACGGAAGCUUGCUUUCGUUGAUGGCGACCGGCGCACGGGUGAGUAACGCGUAUCCAACCUGCCCUUGUCCAUCGGAUAACCCGUCGAAAGGCGGACUAACACGAUAUGCAGUUCUCAGCAGGCAUCUAACGAGAACGAAAUGUGAAGGAGAAGGAUGGGGAUGCGU